GAUGAACGCUGGCGGCGUGCUUAAUACAUGCAAGUCGAACGAAUGGAUGUCUAGCUUGCUAGACUGAAGUUAGUGGCGAACGGGUGAGUAAUACAUAGGCAAUCUGCCCUGAAGUGUGGGAUAGCUAUUGGAAACGAUAAUUAAUACCGCAUAGGUAGUAAGAAGGCAUCUUCCUACUAUUAAAGAUGCGUCUGCAUCGCUGCAGGAUGAGCUUAUGGUGUAUUAGCUAGUUGGUGAGAUAAAAGCCCACCAAGGCUAUGAUACAUAGCUGGUCUGAGAGGAUGAACAGCCACAUUGGGACUGAGACACGGCCCAGACUCCUACGGGAGGCAGCAGUAAGGAAUUUUCGGCAAUGGGGGCAACCCUGACCGAGCAACGCCGCGUGAGUGAUGAAGGUCUUCGGAUCGUAAAACUCUGUUGUAAAGGAAGAAUGUCAUAUAUAGGAAAUGAUAUAUGAGUG
rnacentral:rRNA from 1 species